GGGUGAGUAACACGUGGGUAACCUGCCUGUAAGACCGGGAUAACUCGCGGAAACGCGAGCUAAUACCGGAUAGGUCCCGUGGCCGCAUGGCGACGGGAGGAAAGAUGGCGCGAGCUAUCGCUUACAGAUGGGCCCGCGGCGCAUUAGCUAGUUGGUGGGGUAACGGCCCACCAAGGCGACGAUGCGUAGCCGACCUGAGAGGGUGAUCGGCCACAUUGGGACUGAGACACGGCCCAAACUCCUACGGGAGGCANCAGUAGGGAAUCUUCCGCAAUGGGCGAAAGCCUGACGGAGCAACGCCGCGUGAGCGAAGAAGGCCUUCGGGUCGUAAAGCUCUGUUGUCAGGGAAGAACAAGUACCGGAGUAACUGCCGGUACCUUGACGGUACCUGACCAGAAAGCCCCGGCUAACUACGUGCC
rnacentral:rRNA from 1 species